GUGCUCACUUCAGCAACACAUAUACUAAAAUUGGAACGAUACAGAGAAGAUUAACAUGGCUCCUGCAUAAUGAUGACAUGUAAAUUCAUGAAAUGUUCCACAUUUUU